rnacentral:rRNA from 1 species
UAGAAAUUGACGGGACCCCGCGACAAGCAGCGGAGCGUGUGGUUUAAUUCGAUGCUACACGAAGAACUUACCAGGGUUUGACAUGCAAGUGGUAGGAAUCCGAAAGGGACGACCCUUCGGGGAGCCGUAUACAGGUGUUGCAUGGCUGUCGUCAGCUCGUGUCGUGAGAUGUUCGGUUAAGUCCGCUAACAAGCGCAACCCUCGUCGUAUGUUAUAUGUGUCAUACGAGACUGCCGGUAAAAAGCCGGAGGAAGGUGAGGAUGAUGUCAAGUCAGCAUGACCUUUAUAUCCAGGGCUACACACACGCUACAAUGGUCUGUACAAUGGGUAGCCAAGCCGCGAGGCGGAGCCAAUCCUGAAAGCAGGCCUCAGUUCAGAUUGCAGUCUGCAACUCGACUGCAUGAAGCCGGAGUUGCUAGUAACCGCAGGUCAGCAAUACUGCGGUGAAUACGUUCCCGGGUCUU